UUAAAUUGAAGAGUUUGAUCAUGGCUCAGAUUGAACGCUGGCGGCAGGCCUAACACAUGCAAGUCGAGCGGUAGCACAGGAGAGCUUGCUCUCUGGGUGACGAGCGGCGGACGGGUGAGUAAUGUCUGGGAAACUGCCUGAUGGAGGGGGAUAACUACUGGAAACGGUAGCUAAUACCGCAUAACGUCUACGGACCAAAGUGGGGGACCUUCGGGCCUCACGCCAUCAGAUGUGCCCAGAUGGGAUUAGCUAGUAGGUGGGGUAAUGGCUCACCUAGGCGACGAUCCCUAGCUGGUCUGAGAGGAUGACCAGCCACACUGGAACUGAGACACGGUCCAGACUCCUACGGGAGGCAGCAGUGGGGAAUAUUGCACAAUGGGCGCAAGCCUGAUGCAGCCAUGCCGCGUGUGUGAAGAAGGCCUUAGGGUUGUAAAGCACUUUCAGCGAGGAGGAAGGGUAGUGUGUUAAUAGCACAUUGCAUUGACGUUACUCGCAGAAGAAGCACCGGCUAACUCCGUGCCAGCAGCCGCGGUAAUACGGAGGGUGCAAGCGUUAAUCGGAAUUACUGGGCGUAAAGCGCACGCAGGCGGUUUGUUAAGUCAGAUGUGAAAUCCCCGCGCUUAACGUGGGAACUGCAUUUGAAACUGGCAAGCUAGAGUCUUGUAGAGGGGGGUAGAAUUCCAGGUGUAGCGGUGAAAUGCGUAGAGAUCUGGAGGAAUACCGGUGGCGAAGGCGGCCCCCUGGACAAAGACUGACGCUCAGGUGCGAAAGCGUGGGGAGCAAACAGGAUUAGAUACCCUGGUAGUCCACGCUGUAAACGAUGUCGAUUUGGAGGUUGUGCCCUUGAGGCGUGGCUUCCGGAGCUAACGCGUUAAAUCGACCGCCUGGGGAGUACGGCCGCAAGGUUAAAACUCAAAUGAAUUGACGGGGGCCCGCACAAGCGGUGGAGCAUGUGGUUUAAUUCGAUGCAACGCGAAGAACCUUACCUACUCUUGACAUCCAGAGAACUUUCCAGAGAUGGAUUGGUGCCUUCGGGAACUCUGAGACAGGUGCUGCAUGGCUGUCGUCAGCUCGUGUUGUGAAAUGUUGGGUUAAGUCCCGCAACGAGCGCAACCCUUAUCCUUUGUUGCCAGCGAUUCGGUCGGGAACUCAAAGGAGACUGCCGGUGAUAAACCGGAGGAAGGUGGGGAUGACGUCAAGUCAUCAUGGCCCUUACGAGUAGGGCUACACACGUGCUACAAUGGCGUAUACAAAGAGAAGCGAACUCGCGAGAGCAAGCGGACCUCAUAAAGUACGUCGUAGUCCGGAUUGGAGUCUGCAACUCGACUCCAUGAAGUCGGAAUCGCUAGUAAUCGUAGAUCAGAAUGCUACGGUGAAUACGUUCCCGGGCCUUGUACACACCGCCCGUCACACCAUGGGAGUGGGUUGCAAAAGAAGUAGGUAGCUUAACCUUCGGGAGGGCGCUUACCACUUUGUGAUUCAUGACUGGGGUGAAGUCGUAACAAGGUAACCGUAGGGGAACCUGCGGUUGGAUCACCUCCUUACCU
rnacentral:rRNA from 1 species